AACGAACGCUGGCGGCAUGCCUAAUACAUGCAAGUCGAACGAGAUCUUCGGAUCUAGUGGCGCACGGGUGCGUAACGCGUGGGAAUCUGCCCUUGUGUUCGGAAUAACUUCUGGAAACGGAAGCUAAUACCGGAUGGUGACGUAAGUCCAAAGAUUUAUCGCCCAAGGAUGAGCCCGCGUAGGAUUAGCUAGUUGGUGGGGUAAAGGCCCACCAAGGCGACGAUCCCUAGCUGGUCUGAGAGGAUGAUCAGCCACACUGGGACUGAGACACGGCCCAGACUCCUACGGGAGGCAGCAGUAGGGAAUAUUGGAAAAUGGGGGAAACCCUGAUCCAGCAAUGACGCGUGAGUGAUGAAGGCCUUAGGGUUGUAAAGCUCUUUUAACCGGGAUGAUAAUGACAGUACCGGGAGAAUAAGCUCCGGCUAACUCCGUG
rnacentral:rRNA from 1 species